rnacentral:rRNA from 1 species
UACGAAGGGGGAUAGCGUGGUGCGGAAUUACUGGGCGUAAAGGGUGCGCAGGCGGCUUCUCAAGUCAGGGGGGAAAGCCCAGAGCUCAACUCUGGAAUUGCCUUUGAGACUGAGUGGCUUGAGUACGAGAGAGGUGAGUGGAAUUCCCAGUGUAGAGGUGAAAUUCGUAGAUAUUGGGAAGAACACCGGUGGCGAAGGCGGCUCACUGGCUCGUAACUGACGCUCAUGCACGACAGCGUGGGGAUCAAACAGG